CUGGAGUUUGAUGGUCAGCUGAGGUUGGAUGGUCAGCUGGGCUUGGAUGGUCAGCUGGGCUUGAGUGGUCAGCUGGGGUUUGAUGGUCAGCUGAGGUUGGAUGGUCAGCUGGGCUUGAGUGGUCACCUGAGGUUUGAUGGUCAGCUGAGGUUGGAUGGUCAGCUGGGGUUGGAUGGUCAGCUGAGGUUGGAUGGUCAGCUGGAGUUGGAUGGUCAGCUGGGCUUGGAUGGUCAGCUGGGUUCAGGUGGUCAGCUGGAUUCAGGUGGUCCACUGGAGUUGGAUGGUCAGCUGAGGUUGGAUGGUCAACUGGGCUUGGAUGGUCAGCUGGGCUUGGAUGGUCAGCUGGGUUCAGGUGGUCAGCUGGAUACAAGUGGUCCACUAGAGUUGGAUGAUCAGCUGGGGUUGGAUGGUCAACUGAGUAGGAUGGUCAUCUGUGCUUGGAUGGCCAGCUGGGGUUUGAUGGUCACCUGAGGUUGGAUGGCCAGCUGGGCUUGGAUAGUCAGCUGGAGUUUGAUGGUCAGCUGGAAUUGGAUGGUCAGCUGGGCUUGAGUGGUCAGCUGGAGUUUGAUGGUCAGCUGGGCUUGGAUGGUCAGCUGGGGUUUGAUGGUCAGCUGGGCUCAGGUGGUCAGCUGGGCUCAGGUGGUCAGCACAGGGACAGGGUGACCCCUGCUCAGGGGUUUUCAGGCUGGCAGAGCCUGGCUGUGCAGGAGGUUGGGAUGAGGGGCUUGGUGCUGGGGGCAGGCUGGCAGUGCUUGUGGUGCUGUCAGGGGCACCCGAGCCCCCGCGGGGGUUGUGGCUGUGGCAGGGAGACUCUGGGGGUCCCUUGGGGAGGGGGUUGUUGCUGUGGGGUGGUUGAGGCCCCUGCCAGGGUUGGGGUCUGGGGACAGUGGAAGUGUUAAAUCCAGAGCUGGUGGUGAUGGGCCACGUGUGGGCCUGGGGUAAACUGGGGCAAAGAGAAAGAACACGUUUCCUUUUCCCUUUUUCACUUCCCUCUUCCUCUCCAGAAUAACUUCAGCAAACCGAGGAAAAAGCAAAUUCACAAAAACCCCCCGCCUUUUCCUUGAGAAUUUCACUUUUUACACUUUUUUCCUCCCCUAGUGUUGCUCGGUUGGGGGAUCCCCCCCAUCCCUUUGGGUGUCAGUUGGGAUGUUUGUCACCAGUUCUGGGGACAGGGCUGUGAGCUGCUGCUGCCAGAGCUUGGCUGGGGGUGAGGGGCACUUGGUGCUCUGGGGGUCCCCUCUGCCCUCCUGGGGGGAGCAUCCCUCAGGAGGGGAAGGAGCAUCUUCCCAGCCACUCCUCAGCUCUGGCUGCCACAUCCUGCCUCCCACCUCUCCGGCUGGGGGCACAAUUUGGGGAUGUCUGGGGGAUUUUCACCACCCAAAGUGGGGAAAAUUCAUCCCCAUCCGCCUCUCCCUGAGCUGUGGGAGAGUGUCUAACAGUGGGCUUCAGCUGAAGGUUUGCUCUGGUUUCCCUUUCCCGUGUUCAUCCUUUUAUUCCACCUUCACUUUUAUCUUUUUGGGGUUUUUUUCUCUUUUCCUUUCCACAAAAAAACCCAAGCAGACCCAUAAACCAAGUAUUAUGUUUUCACUACCUCCAUCCAUCACCCUUCCUUGUCCAAUGCAGGAAGCCACACUCGGGAUGUAAGAGGGCCUUUCCCCCUUUGUUUUCCCCUUUCCCCUGGUGAUUUUCUCUCCCUUCUGUCCCUCUGCCCCUCCUCUCUCUGGUCUCUCACCUGUAGUAUUUUACCUGGCUACUGUAACUGUAAAUAGCGAGUUUCAAUCUGUUAGCAAUGGUAACAGUACAGAAAACUGGUUUUGGUUUUCUCUUUUUUUUUUUUUUUUUGGUUGUAUUGAUAUGAAAUGAGAUUAUAUUUUUGUCAGAGUAUAUUGUAAUAAUACUGACUUUGGACAUGGCCGAGUUGUACAGCGAUUUCUUGUUUAACCCUCUUGGCUCUUCCCGUGCACCCCUCCCCGGCCUCCCUGCUCCCCAAAUUUCCAUGUCCCGCAUCCUGGGCAGGAGCAGCCCCUUGGAAAUUUGCAGUUCCAGGGUUGCUUUUCCACAGGGUUCCCACACGCCGGCGUGUCCCCCUGGCUCCGGGGGGUCUGCAACCCCCGGGGGUGAUUUAGCGAGCCUUGGAGAUGGGGAGGAGCCGGCUGAGCAUCCACAGGGAUGCUCUGGAGCUCUGCCACGCUCCGGGCAGCAAUUCAGGACCCUGGAGCAGUGAGCGGGCUCCUUCCACUCCCCUCUCCUCCCUGGCCGGGGGAAAACCCCGGUUCCUUCCCAGCUCCGUUCUCUGGAGCUGUUUGGGAUGUGCUUGACUUGAGCCAGAAGAGGGUGGUGUGGCUCAGGCUGCGCCAGGAGCGGCUCCAGACGGGCUGGGAGGUUUUUGGGGAGUGAGGAUUGAGAUAUCCCCCAGGCUGGGAAGGUUUUUGGGGAGUGAGGGUUGAGAUAUCCCCCAGGCUGGGAAGGUUUUGGGGAGUGAGGAUUGAGAUAUCCCCUAAAAUGGGAAGGUUUUUGGGGAGUGAGGAUUGAGAUAUCCCCCAGGCUGGGAAGGUUUUGGGGAGUGAGGGUUGAGAUAUCCCCUAAAAUGGGAAGGUUUUGGGGAGUGAGGAUUGAGAUAUCCCCCAGGCUGGGAAGGUUUUGGGGAGUGAGGAUUGAGAUAUCCCCUAAAAUGGGAAGGUUUUUGGGGAGUGAGGAUUGAGAUAUCCCCCAGGCUGGGAAGGUUUUUGGGGACUGAAGGAUUGGCAAUAUCCCCUAAGAUGGGAAAGCUUUGGGGGAACUGAGGGAUUUGUAAUAUCCCCUAGGAUGGGAAGGUUUUCAGAACUGAGGGAUUCACAAUGUCCCCCAGGCUGGGAAGGUUUUUUGGAACUGAGGGAUUGAAAAUAUCCCCUAAAAUGGGAAGGUUUUGGGGGAACUGAGGGAUUGACAUUGUCCCCCAGGCUGUGAGGGUUUUUUGGAACUGAGGGAUUGACAAUAUCCCCUAAAAUGGGAAGGUUUUCAGAACUGAGGGAUUGACAAUAUCCCCUAAAAUGGGAAGGUUUUUUUGGGGAAGUGAGGGAUUUGUAAUAUCCCCUAGGAUGGAAAGGUUUUCAGAACUGAGGGAUUCACAAUAUCCCCUAAGAUGGGAAGGUUUUCAGGAACUGGGAUUUGCAAUAUCCCCUCACCCUGGGAAGGUUUUUUGGGACUGAGGGGUUGAAAUAUCCCCCAGACUGGGAAGGAUUUUGGGACUGAAGGAUUUGCAAUAUCCCCCAGACUGGGAAGGUUUUUUGGGACUGAAGGAUUUGCAGUAUCCCCAUCCCUGGGUGGGGAUGGGUGGCUGUGUCUCCCCCCUGCCCCCCACAUCCACCCCGGGCCAGGGGGAGCCCCAGCAUCGUGCUGGGGGAUCAGAGAAGGAUUUCUUCACUUCAGAUGGGUUUUCAGUGAGGUUUUCGUGCUGGUGCCCCUGAGACUGGCCCAGCUCCUCCCUCUGCAGGCCUGCACCCACCUCAGGCUGCAGGAGCACCCCCAGCCGCUCUGCUGUGACCACGCUGGGCUGUCCCCAGGGGCUCCUGGCAUCCCCAAGGCCGAGGGGUGCAGCAGCCCACCCUGGGCCACGACUCCCCUCCUGCCCAGGGCUCUUCCCAAGCAUUUGCAGGCAGAUGAGGUGCUGGAGAAGUGGGGACCGUGGUGGCCCAGUGCUGCUCGCUCUGCUGUCCCCCAGAGCCCCCGGGGCAGCUCCUGCUUCUCCCCCAUCCCCUUUGCUCCCCGUAGCUCAGUUAAGCAGGUAGGUGUUAGCAAACUCUGCAAAAAAAAACUUUUGUAAAAUAGAAUAGACCCUUUAAAUGAUGCACUAAAAUAAAAAAAAAAUAAAAAAAAAUCAUGGGUGCCCCCUGUCAGCUUCUCUGCGUGGUGGUUUGUUGGAUGUCCCCGCUCAGCCCAGCACAGGCAGCUCUGCAUCCUCCCCCAGGGUGCUGCACAGGUAGAAACAAAGCAGGACGUGCACUUCCCCCCGAGGAGUUUUAUUUAUUGUUUCGAGAAGCGAUUUAAAAGGGAAGAAAAAAAAAAAAAAA